GUGGGGAAUCUUGCGCAAUGGGCGAAAGCCUGACGCAGCCAUGCCGCGUGAAUGAUGAAGGUCUUAGGAUUGUAAAAUUCUUUCACCGGGGACGAUAAUGACGGUACCCGGAGAAGAAGCCCCGGCUAACUUCGUGCCAGCAGCCGCGGUAAUACGAAGGGGGCUAGCGUUGCUCGGAAUUACUGGGCGUAAAGGGCGCGUAGGCGGACAGCUUAGUCAGAGGUGAAAGCCCAGGGCUCAACCUUGGAAUUGCCUUUGAUACUGGCUGUCUUGAGUUUGGGAGAGGUGAGUGGAACUCCGAGUGUAGAGGUGAAAUUCGUAGAUAUUCGGAAGAACACCAGUGGCGAAGGCGACUCACUGGCCCGUUACUGACGCUGAGGCGCGAAAGCGUGGGGAGCAAACAGGAUUAGAAACCCGGGUAGUCC
rnacentral:rRNA from 1 species